UACGGGGGAUGCAAGCGUUAUCCGGAUUUAUUGGGUUUAAAGGGUGCGCAGGCUGUGAGGUAAGUCAGCGGUGAAAUGCCCCCGCUCAACGGGGUGAAGUGCCAUUGAUACUGCCUUGCUGGAAUGCGGAUGCCGUGGGAGGAAUGUGUGGUGUAGCGGUGAAAUGCAUAGAUAUCACACAGAACACCGAUUGCGAAGGCAUCUCACGAAUCCGCGAUUGACGCUGAUGCACGAAAGCGUGGGUAUCAAACAGG
rnacentral:rRNA from 1 species